UUUUGGACAAUGGACGCAAGUCUGAUCCAGCCAUUCCGCGUGCAGGACGAAGGCCUUCGGGUUGUAAACUGCUUUUGUACAGAACGAAGAGGUCUCUAUUAAUACUAGGGGCUCAUGACGGUACUGUAAGAAUAAGCACCGGCUAACUACGUGCCAGCAGCCGCGGUAAUACGUAGGGUGCAAGCGUUAAUCGGAAUUACUGGGCGUAAAGCGUGCGCAGGCGGUUAUAUAAGACAGAUGUGAAAUCCCCGGGCUCAACCUGGGAACUGCAUUUGUGACUGUAUAGCUGGAGUGCGGCAGAGGGGGAUGGAAUUCCGCGUGUAGCAGUGAAAUGCGUAGAUAUGCGGAGGAACACCGAUGGCGAAGGCAAUCCCCUGGGCCUGCACUGACGCUCAUGCACGAA
rnacentral:rRNA from 1 species